rnacentral:rRNA from 1 species
CGGCCUUAGUGGCGCACGGGUGCGUAACGCGUGGGAAUCUGCCCCUUGGUUCGGAAUAACAGUUGGAAACGACUGCUAAUACCGGAUGACGACGUAAGUCCAAAGAUUUAUCGCCGAGGGAUGAGCCCGCGUAGGAUUAGGUAGUUGGUGUGGUAAAGGCGCACCAAGCCGACGAUCCUUAGCUGGUCUGAGAGGAUGAUCAGCCACACUGGGACUGAGACACGGCCCAGACUCCUACGGGAGGCAGCAGUGGGGAAUAUUGGACAAUGGGCGAAAGCCUGAUCCAGCAAUGCCGCGUGAGUGAUGAAGGCCUUAGGGUUGUAAAGCUCUUUUACCCGGGAUGAUAAUGACAGUACCGGGAGAAUAAGCUCCGGCUAACUCCGUGCCAGCAGCCGCGGUAAUACGGAGGGAGCUAGCGUUAUUCGGAAUUACUGGGCGUAAAGCGCACGUAGGCGGCUUUGUAAGUAAGAGGUGAAAGCCCAGAGCUCAACUCUGGAAUUGCCUUUUAGACUGCAUCGCUUGAAUCAUGGAGAGGUCAGUGGAAUUCCGAGUGUAGAGGUGAAAUUCGUAGAUAUUCGGAAGAACACCAGUGGCGAAGGCAGCUGACUGGACAUGUAUUGACGCUGAG